rnacentral:rRNA from 1 species
UCGAACGAGAAAGGGGAGCAAUCCCUGAGUACAGUGGCGACCGGGUGAGUAACACGUGACCAACCUGCCCUCGAGUGGGGAACAACAGCGGGAAACCGCUGCUGAUACCGCAUAACAUCUUUGAGUCGGAAGACUUGGGGAUCAAGGGAGCAAUUCGCUUGAGGAGGGGGUCGCGGCUGAUUAGCUAGUUGGCGGGGUAAUGGCCCACCAAGGCGAAGAUCGGUAGCCGGCCUGAGAGGGCGCACGGCCACACUGGAACUGAAACACGGUCCAGACUCCUACGGGAGGCAGCAGUGGGGAAUUUUGCGCAAUGGGGGAAACCCUGACGCAGCAACGCCGCGUGGAGGAUGAAGUCCCUUGGGACGUAAACUCCUUUCGACCAAGACGAUAAUGACGGUACUGGUGGAAGAAGCACCGGCUAACUCUGUG